CUAAGGCGAUGGAGUGACACAACUAUGAACCGUGGACUUGUGUUGGAAUACAAGUUGAAUAUAUGUAGGGUGUGAUACAGGCAAAUCCGUAUCACGCUAACCCGAGGUAUAGGACGAGGCGCAAGCCGUAAAGUGCGGGUAUAAGGUUGUCGAGAAAUAGCUUCUAGCUUAACUUAUACAGAGAUCGUACCGCAAACCGACACAGGUAGGCGAGGAGAGUAUCCUAAGGUGUUCGAGAGAAUUCUGGUUAAGGAACUAGGCAAAAUAGCCCCGUAACUUCGGGAGAAGGGGUGCCCUUUAAUGUGAAUCGUACAGAGUAGCAUUUAGGGGCCGCAGUGAAGAGGCCCAAGCGACUGUUUAUCAAAAACACAGGUCUAUGCAAAGUAGAAAUACAACGUAUAUAGACUGACACCUGCCCGGUGCCGGAAGGUUAAAUGGAGAGGUUAGCGCGAGCGAAGCUUUGAAAUGAAGCCCCGGUAAACGGCGGCCGUAACGAUAACGGUCCUAAGGUAGCGAAAUUCCUUGUCGGGUAAGUUCCGACCUGCACGAAUGGUGCAACGACUUGGGCGCUGUCUCAACCAGGAACUCGGUGAAAUUGUAGUAGUGGUGAAGAUGCCACUUACCCGCGAAAGGACGGAAAGACCCCAUGAACCUUUACUGUAUCCUGGUAUUGUAUAUUGGUAAGAUAUGUGUAGGAUAGGUGGGAGGCUGUGAAGUCGGUACGCCAGUAUCGGUGGAGCCACCGUUGAAAUACCACCCUUAUUUUAUCGGUCUACUAACCUUUUCAGUUAUCCUGAACAGGGACAUUGCCAGGUGGGCAGUUUGACUGGGGCGGUCGCCUCCAAAAAAGUAACGGAGGCUCGCAAAGGUUCCCUCAGGCUGGUUGGUAAUCAGUCGAAGAGCGCAAGGGUAUAAGGGAGCUUGACUGUGAGACAGACAUGUCGAACAGAUGCGAAAGCAGGUCCUAGUGAUCCGGUGGUUCUGAAUGGAAGGGCCAUCGCUCAAAGGAUAAAAGGUACUCUGGGGAUAACAGGCUGAUACCGCCCAAGAGUUCGUAUCGACGGCGGUGUUUGGCACCUCGAUGUCGGCUCAACUCAUCCUGGGGCUGAAGAAUGUCCCAAGGGUUCGGCUGUUCGCCGAUUAAAGAGUUACGCGAGCUGGGUUCAGAACGUCGUGAGACAGUUCGGUCCCUAUCCUUCGUGGGCGCAGGAAAUUUGAGAGGAUCUACAUUUAGUACGAGAGGACCGGUGUGGACGAACCUCUGGUGUACCGGUUGUGGUGCCAACUGCAUUGCCGGGUAGCUAAGUUCGGAAUGGAUAUCCGCUGAAAGCAUCUAAGCGGGAAGCCAACCUCAAGAUAAGAUAUCCCCAUAGAGGCGUCAGAGACUAUGACGCAGAUAGGUUACAGGUGUAAGUGCAGUAAUGUAUUCAGCCGAGUAAUACUAAUCAUCGAAUGACUUAUUUUG
rnacentral:rRNA from 1 species